CCCUUAGAUGUUCUGGGCCGCACGCGUGCUACACUGAGUGGAUCAGCGGGUCAGGUUGCGCGAAAGUGUUUCCUAAUCUUGAAAUCCGCUCGUGAUGGGGAUUGACGGUUGCAAUUUUCCGUCAUGAACGAGGAAUACCUUGUAAGCGCGGGUCAUCAUCCCGCGCUGAAUACGUCCCUGCCCUUUGUACACACCGCCCGUCGCUCCUACCGAUUGAGUGGUCCGGUGAGGCUUUGGGAUCUGAACAAAGAGAGCGUUUCGCUCGUUUUGCCCGGAAAACUCAGUCGAACCUUAUCAUUUAGAGGAAGGAGAAGUCGUAACA
rnacentral:rRNA from 1 species